rnacentral:lncRNA from 1 species
AAAAGUAAUGUAUAAUGACAAUAGUAAUAUAAAAUUGAUGUGUGUCAUUCGUUGCAAUUUACUCUUUUUAAUAUAGUGCUAAAAACUUAUCACAUGAUAAAAUUGAUGUGUGUCAUAAUUAAGUAUUUUUGUAGGCAUAUCAAUAAAUAAUAAUGUAAUGUGUAAUGACAAUAAUGACUAACUAAUAGACGAAAGAGUCUCGUAGUGGGUUUCUCUCGAUCAAAUUGUCUGUCUAUACUCUAGUUGCUUAUGGAUGCCACUCUAGUUGCUUAUGAUCCAUCAAUCAUUGUAUCUAUUUUGCAGCUAGCAUCAUAUGUAUCCUACAUCAAAAAGCCAAAAGUAAAUGAAAACCCACAUCCAAAAUGUAAACUAAAUGUAAUAACAUAAAAAGGUAUGACAGUGAAGAUAUAUGGAUUACUCACGCUUUUAACUCUUGUAUAGUAUAAAUUAGCAAAUUCAUCAACAAAGAUAAUAUUGAGGAGCAUAACAUAGCACAUCAAGUAGAAUUUUAAGCAACAUAUCAUAGCUAGAAAACAAUGACUUAAUAAUAAACAAUAUAUAAGGGUUAUUUUAAGAAUAAGUCGCUGCAUAGAAUGACAAUCGGUAGAAAACCCUUCAGUCAAUCUUGUAAAGAUAACUCGAGUUCUUCUCCUUGUCCUUUUCAUAUGCAGAAGACGAACCAUAUAAUUAAAGACCAUAAAUUCAUUUGCGUUGACUAUUUCUGCCAAUUCCUUUUCUUCUACUUUUAGUUAAUACCAAUGCUGGCUUCAAAUCAAUGUUUCUGAUGUGAUAAUAUCUCACAGUUUAUACCAAUCAAACUCAAUAAUUUCAUCAUAAUUCUAUAAGUUGACAUCCCUAUCUACUACGAAAUGACUCGAGACUACAUAAAAACAAAACAAAUUGCAUUAACACAUAAGAAAUAAUGAGAAAUAUAUAGAGAAUAGAUGUACUCCCAAGUAUGAAAACAUGAAUUGCAAUGGAAGAAGGUGCCAAUACUUUAACACUUCCUAACAGUUGUGAACGAUAUUCGUAGUUGCACUUAAAUACAUUAAUAUCGCUAUUGAAAAUUUAGUAAAAGUCCAUGUGAGGCACUUCUCCACCUCAUCCUCUGGUUUCUCCGGUGGCUUGUAAAAAGUGACUAAUUUACACCAAAUUGUUCAAUAAAUUUGACAAAAUAUGAGGAUAUAAAUCAAGCAUUACCCAAAGAAGAAGCUUUGGGUACCUGUAAAAUCGAGUAUCUGCUACAAAGAACUUCCACAAAAGGAGUAAAAAAAUUGAAAUUAGUGAUUAGUUUUUGUCAUUUGCGUGAGGUUUCUAUAUGGAAUGAAUGAUAAGAUCUAUGGAUAUAUUGAUCUCGAACCAACAGAUGCUCAAUGUGAAUCUUUGACUGCAUUGUAUUCUAUUUAUGGCAAUUUCUUCGAUCAACAUUUGAAUGUUUCAAUGGUUUGUGAUCUUUGGAUUCUAUAAUGACAAAUAUAUGACCAUCAAAUUUCAUUCACGUUCCAGCUGUAAUAAUUUCAUCAUUUCAAGUAAUCUGAUAGCUAAGAGUUUCCUUGUUUCAUCAUACAUAGUCUCUCGUAAUCUUUAAAUCAAUUUAAAACCAUUUCCAUCAUUUGUUCCAAAUUCUUGAUCAUCACCUGAAUAAGCUAGUCAUUGAAACCGUCACAAGCAGCAGCAGAAACAAUAUUUCUUUCCCUAAAACAUGAACCGGUAACAUAUAUAUUUUCUUGACAUAACAAACACAAACAAUAUGCAAAGAAAAUAUGAGGAAGUGGACUUGGCUUUAUAAUCAUAUGUAUAAAAAGUUUUAUUGAAGCAAACAACCAGAAACAAUGACAUCUUCUCAUUUAGGCAUAUCAUCAACCAACUUGCCAACAAUUGGAAAAUCCACCAAGUAACUACAUAUGCGCUCCAUUUCUAGGGUUUCUUGGGAAAAUUAUGACAUUAAUAUGAAAAGAUCAACCCACAUACUUGAGAUGAACCAAUAAAAAAAUUGAUUGUUACUUACCAUUUCCUCAUGAAUUCAAUUAGAUACAGGGAGCCAACCACGAUACAACAUCUCAAGAAAAAUGUUGUCUUGAUCUGUCACUUUUAUAUAAUUGAAUCUCAAAGGUAUACAAAGUAAAAGUAACUAAUGAAAAACUCUCAUCAAUCUAUUUUCCCUGUUGCAAUCGUUAAUCAGAAUUAGAAUUGGAAAAGAUGUAAAUUCUUAGCAAUAUAUUUUUCCCUGUUACAGUCAUUAAUCAUAGGUAGAAUUGGAGAUGUAUUUGGCAAAAAAAAUUAUAAUUACUAUCUGGAAAGAAAAUAUUAAUCCUGAACAUAUAUUUCACCCAAAUCGAGUUUCCAGAUUGAAGGAAAAACGACCAUUUGAAUAGAUUUUAACACGGGAAGAAAAUCCAUCGAUUGGAUUGACGGUAAACAGAAAAAACAAUUGGAAUCAAAUUAAGGUUCUUGAAGAUAACAUACCGGUGGGAAGAUGCUGACGGCAGAAAGAUCAAUGUUAUCAUUCUUAUUUAAUCCAACAUUCAGAAUAUUUGUUGUCAAGAAUUGGGCGAAUUUUAUAUUCGUCGCAUAAUAAUUGAUUUCCAUUUUCUGGAUGAUAUGUCAGAUUUUUCUUGAUGAGGAACCGUUCGUGCAUUUGGAGAGAUGUAGAACCGAUGGGUGAUCAGAAUUGGAAAAGGUAAGUGUUAGAAGGGAGGCAAUGAUCAGAAAGAUUUAAUCGACAUUUGUGCACGUUGUGUCGUUCCGAGAGUUGGAUACGUGGAGGAACUGUCACCCUAUGAAUUUCCUCUAG